CUGCUCACUCUGGCAGCACCUGCACUAAAACUGGAACAACAGAGAGAAGAUUAGCAUAACCCCUGCACAAGGAUGACACAAAUUUGUGAAGUAUUCCAUAUUUUU
ensembl:snRNA U6 U6 spliceosomal RNA